UGUAUCAAUGAUGAGAGUGUAUCAUGAACCAAAGAUUAUAAUUAAUUCAAUUCUGUUCACCUGAGCUCCAAA
rnacentral:snoRNA from 1 species